rnacentral:rRNA from 1 species
GUCUACGGCCAUGCCACCCUGAACAUGCCUGAUCUCGUCUGAUCUCCGAAGCUAAGUGGGUCAGGCCUGGAUAGUACUUGGAUGGGAGACCACCCAGGAAGACUGGGUGCUGUAGGCG